GAUGAAAGCUGACAGAAUGCUUAACACAUGCAAGUCAACUGUGGCGGACGGGUGAGUAACGCGUAAAGAACUUGCCUCACAGCUAGGGACAACAUUUGGAAACGAAUGCUAAUACCUGAUACUGUGAGAGAGCUUUGCGUCCCAUUAGCUAGUUGGAGAGGUAACGGCUCAACAAGGCGAUGAUGGGUAGCCGGCCUGAGAGGGUGAUCGGCCACAAGGGGACUGAGACACCGCCCUUACUCCUACGGGAGGCAGCAGUGGGGAUUUUUGGACAAUGGACCGAAGUCUGAUCAAGCAAUUCUGUGUGCACGAUGAAGUUUUCGGAAUGUAAAGUGCUUUCAGUUGGGAAGCGGUACCAACAGAAGAAGUGACGGCUAAAUACGUGCCAGCAGCCGCGGUAAUUC
rnacentral:rRNA from 1 species